UGACUAGUGUGUACCGGUCCUUGCCACCCGUGAAGUCACACAGCCGCUUCCUCUAGAGCAAAUGAGGCGUGCUCCUCCUCCUCCUUCCCUCCAAUUCCUCGCCGCAGCAGCCACCGACGCAACCACCGCCAUGUCUUCGCGCCCUCCUUACCGAGGUGGUCGAAACCAAUGGCCGAGAGCCUCCUCCUCGAACCGCCCCUACUCGGGCGGCAGAGGCCCGUACGUCACCGGAGAUUCGCAUAUCCGAUCGGUCCGCGACGCCAAUCUAGAGUUCCGGCGAGGCGACGCCGGCACCGGACCCUUACCCAACCAAACCGCCUUUCGUGAGCAUCCGCCGCCGCCGCCUUUUCAGCACAACCAUCACUUCCCUCAAUCUCGGCCGUUCGAUACAAACCAACCGUACCGGCCGAACCAGCAAUUCCGGCCUCCUCAGCAGUUUCAGCCUCGGCAGCAAUUCCGGCCUCGGCCGAAGCCCUUGGAUUAUCGCAACUGGGAGUUUGCGAAAACGACGCCGCCCCCUACUUGUGAUAGGUUUACGGUGCUAUCUUAUAACAUGCUGGCUGAUUCCUUGGCCCAUGAGCACCGGAGCAAGCUUUACUUUCACAUACCUUAUCAUAUGAUGGACUGGCAAUGGAGAAAGAAUAAUUUGAUUUUUGAGCUUGGGCUGUGGUCAGCUGACAUAAUGUGCUUUCAGGAGGUUGAUAAAUUUCAGGACAUCGAGGAGGAGUUGAAGCUUAAGGGGUACAAUGGCAUUUGGAAGAUGCGGACUGGCAAUCCAGUUGAUGGCUGUGCAAUUUUUUGGCGAUCCUCAAGAUUCAAGUUGAUUCAUGAGGAAUGCAUUGAGUUCAGUAAGCUUGGACUUCGGGAUAAUGUUGCUCAGAUAUGUGUACUGGAGUCAAUAUGCCAGACCAAAAAUCUUGCAGUUCUACCAACAAGCUCAACAGGUUCUAAUAAAGUGGUCAUUUGCAACAUUCACGUGCUUUACAAUCCUAAACGAGGAGAAAUUAAGCUUGGCCAGGUCAGGGUGCUCUUGGAUAGGGCUCAUGCCAUUUCCAAAAUCUGGAAUGAUGCUCCAAUUGUUCUUUGUGGGGAUUUCAAUUGUACGCCAAAGAGUGCGUUAUACAACUUUAUUUCAGAACAGAAGUUAGAUUUGUCUGGAGUUGACAGAGAUAAAGUAUCUGGACAAGCUUCAGCUCAAAUUUAUUCACCAAGGUCAUAUAAUCGUAAUUAUGGGGCUCAACCUGGCAAUCAUUUUGUUCAAGGUCCAUCAGUGGUAGACGGGAGGGAAGGUGGAAUGAAGCCGAGUGAUUCACCAUUGGAUAUUCAGAACCUAAACAAUCCAGAAAGUAGUGUGGAGAAUGUUCCAUUAACAAACAAUUUGUCUCAGCCUCAACCUACUAAUACCCUCAAUUGGUUUGAUAAAUCUUGCACCAAUGUUGAUUCUCAAAAAGAGGAUGGUGCCCAAGAUGUUGAAGUUAACAAAGAAUCUAAGCAGAAUGCUGUAGAUGUCUCUACGGUUGAAUCAGCUUUCCAUGUUCCAGGUGAUGGCUUAAAGGAUGAAGCAAGUACUUCUUACAGUGAAGGUGGCUUUCCUGUAGCUAAGUUGACUGAUCCUGAACACGCUUUCUCUAAUGUGACUGAGACUGGAUACAAAGAAAAAGUGGAUUUCACCUCUACUUCAAAUCAUGGAUUACCAAGUGAACAUUCGGACUCAAAUAUUUGUGUAGAAAAAGAAAGCUUGAACUGUGAUAUCCAUAAACAUCCCUCUACAAGGGACAUUGAUUCUAUUAGGGAAGGGAUUGGUCCAGAUUAUGUGGAUCCUCUCCAGUCAGAAAUUCCUUUGUCUAAGCUAUCCUGCCAGACUUCCAUUGCUGAUGCUAUCGAAGUCUCUUCAUUGGGGAACUUAGGAAAUUUGUCUUCUAAACCAAUUUCUUGUGUCGAGAACGAUAGCCGUUCAGUCCCAGAGCAAGUCGACAUAUCAUGUGCACCUACUAGUGUUGACCUUGAGUUGCAGAAAAAUCUAGAAAAUUUAUCUCUUACUGAGUUAGAUGAAGCCAUUCCAGAAGGCGGAAAUACAGCUGAAGAUGAUAAUACAUUUAUAUCUGCAUUACACAACACAGAAGAUGCCUUUCCAUCUGAUUUUUCUGUUUCUCCCAACUCAGCGUUGUCUGCAUCAACCAAUGCAGUUGAGGAUGGUUUAUCUCCAGGAUUGGAUUCAGAGACUGUUUAUGUGGAGAGAACUCCUUAUGAUCCCUCACUAUGGACUCCAAUGGAAAUAGAAGCUGCUACAGGCAAUUCAGAAUGCACUCUUUUAGAACAUCCCCUAAAGCUUAGGAGCACAUAUACUGAAGUUGAGGAUUGUGCUGGGGCCAGAGAGUCAAAUGGAGAGCCCCUGGUUACCAGUUAUAACAGAUGUUUCUUGGGCACAGUUGAUUACAUCUGGCGCUCCGAAGGUCUGCAGACUGUAAGGGUGCUUGCUCCUAUUCCAAAGCAUGCUAUGCAACGGACUUCAGGGUUCCCAACCAAGAAAUGGGGUAGUGAUCAUAUUGCCUUGGCUUCUGAGUUGGCGUUCGUGAACAGUUUUGACCAAUCAGAACAGCAACACAGAAGUCCGCACCAGUAGUCAUUAUUGACAUUUGAGGAUUGCAUUCGGAGAAGUUGCGGGAUUGACUGUCAUCUCCGUCAAAUUUUUUCAGCGUCUAGUUUCACCUCUUCCCACAUGUUUUAGGUUGUGGGAAAAACUCAGUCACAGGUUCUCUUCCAAAAAUUUGAGGUCUCAAGCUUCUUCUACACAGUGCAUGAAAUCAACCGCGAUGGAAACCACAUAAGAGCACGCCCUUAGGCAUUCCACCAGUGGCUUGAGACAAGCACUGCAGCAGCCAUUAUUGUCUUCAACAGGAAAGGGUUGUGCAGCUGUUGGGCCCGAUUCAGACCCCUGCCUGAUCAAUGAACACCACCAUCCAUAAAAAGUUUGUACUAACAAACAUAAUCAUAUAAUUAAUUAACAUGCAGUUUGUUUUU